GGGCGGGUACCCAAGUGGCCAAAGGGGGCAGACUGUAAAUCUGCUGGCGUAAGCCUUCGGGGGUUCGAAUCCUCCCCCGCCCA
rnacentral:tRNA from 1 species